rnacentral:rRNA from 1 species
CCCUUAGAUGUUCUGGGCUGCACGCGCGCUACACUGAAGCGUUCAACGAGUAUUCACCUUGCCCGGGAGGGUUGGGUAAUCUUUUGAAAACGCUUCGUGAUGGGGAUAGAUUAUUGCAAUUAUUAAUCUUCAACGAGGAAUUCCCAGUAAGCGCGAGUCAUCAGCUCGUGCUGAUUACGUCCCUGCCCUUUGUACACACCGCCCGUCGCUCCUACCGAUUGAGUGGUCCGGUGAGGCUUUGGGAUCUGAGCGGAAAGAGCGUUUCGCUGUUUCUGCCCGGAAAACUCAGUCGAACCUUAUCAUUUAGAGGAAGGAGAAGUCGUAACA